AGAGUUUGAUCCUGGCUCAGGACUAACGCUGGCGGCGUGCCCAACACAUGCAAGUCUGAGGAGAAUGGGAUUCUUCGGAUUCCCUAGUAAACUGGCGAAAGGGUGAGUAACACGUAGGUAACCUACCCCGCAGCGGGGAAUAACACCGGGAAACUGGUGCUAAUACCACAUGACGUCCCGGGUUCACAUGGACUCGGGAUCAAAGAGAGCUUCGGCAACGGAGCAUCGCUGCAGGAUGGACCUGCGUCCUAUUAGUUUGUUGGCGGGGUAACGGCCCACCAAGACGACGAUGGGUAGCUGGUCUGAGAGGAUGAUCAGCCACACUGGCACUGAGACACGGGCCAGACUCCUACGGGAGGCAGCAGUGAGGAAUAUUGGGCAAUGGGCGAAAGCCUGACCCAGCAACGCCGCGUGAGUGAUGAAGUUCCGAGGAACGUAAAGCUCUGUUAGGAGGGAAGAAUGUCCGAUUUAUCGGAAGUGACUGUACCUCCAAAGAAAGCUCCGGCUAACUCCGUGCCAGCAGCCGCGGUAAUACGGGGGGAGCAAGCGUUGUCCGGAUUUAUUGGGCGUAAAGAGCGUGUAGGCGGGCCGAAAAGUCGAUGGUGAAAUCUCUCGGCUUAACUGAGAAUCUGCCGUCGAUACUGUCGGUCUUGAGUAUGGAAGAGGGAAGCGGAAUUCCUGGUGUAGCGGUGAAAUGCGUAGAUAUCAGGAAGAACACCAGUAGCGUAAGCGGCUUCCUGGUCCGUUACUGACGCUAAAACGCGAAAGCGUGGGGAGCAAACAGGAUUAGAUACCCUGGUAGUC
rnacentral:rRNA from 1 species